UUAACGUGUAGCAGAUCAAAAGUUAGAGCUUUGUAUUGGAAACAUGCUACUCUUUCUCAUUCCUUUACAGCCUAAUCAAUUAUUUAUUAAAGGCAAGGCAAUUCAAUUCAUGUUCUUCUUAUUCCAUCGUAGAGAAGCUUUUCUUUUCAGCUUCCACUCCGCCUCAACUACACCAUAUUCCGUCCAUCGGUCUUCUACUGUCAUCUCUAAACACUCUUCAUCCACCAGUGACCCUCCUUGAUUCUCCCAUAAUAACCAAUUUUCGUCCACUGGUGACUGCAUUGGUGUGGUAGAGUUUCAAAUUGAAAAGAAGAAAAGACUAGUGCGAAUAUUCUUCUCCAACACAACAACAAGUCUAAAUCGGUCCGUUUCAAAGGUUUCUGUGCAAGGCUGCAAUAAUAUAAGAAGACAGACAAGUUGAUCAAAAAAGGAUCCAAGAAGAUUAGCAACAGUUACAAUAGUUGAAGAAACAAAGUUUAUUUUGAUACAUUGUUUAUGAUUAUACGUGUAUUAAUCAUUAUACGUGUAUUAAUUUUUAUAUAACUGAAAAUAAACAUUGUUUUUAUAAUUAUUAUGAAUUAUUAAAAUA